rnacentral:rRNA from 1 species
GACGAACGCUGGCGGCGUGCCUAGUACAUGCAAGUCGAACGCAUUUUCUUUCACCGUAGCUUGCUACACCGAAAGAAAAUGAGUGGCGAACGGGUGAGUAACACGUGGGUAACCUGCCCAUCAGCGGGGGAUAACACUUGGAAACAGGUGCUAAUACCGCAUAAUUCCAUUUACUGCAUGGUAGAUGGAUGAAAGGCGCUUUUGCGUCACUGAUGGAUGGACCCGCGGUGCAUUAGCUAGUUGGUGGGGUAACGGCCUACCAAGGCUGCGAUGCAUAGCCGACCUGAGAGGGUGAUCGGCCACACUGGGACUGAGACACGGCCCAGACUCCUACGGGAGGCAGCAGUAGGGAAUCUUCGGCAAUGGACGCAAGUCUGACCGAGCAACGCCGCGUGAGUGAAGAAGGUUUUCGGAUCGUAAAACUCUGUUGUUAGAAAAGAACAAGGAUGCGAGUGGAAAGUUCAUCCCUUGACGGUAUCUAACCAGAAAGCCACGGCUAACUACGUG